rnacentral:rRNA from 1 species
GACGAACGCUGGCGGCGUGCCUAAUACAUGCAAGUCGAGCGAAUGACGAGAAGCUUGCUUCUCUGAUUUAGCGGCGGACGGGUGAGUAACACGUGGGCAACCUGCCCUACAGAUCGGGAUAACUCAGGGAAACCUGGGCUAAUACCGGAUAAUCCUUCGAAUCACAUGUUUUGAAGUUGAAAGGCGCUUCGGCGUCACUGUAGGAUGGGCCCGCGGUGCAUUAGCUAGUUGGUGGGGUAGCGGCCCACCAAGGCGACGAUGCAUAGCCGACCUGAGAGGGUGAUCGGCCACACUGGGACUGAGACACGGCCCAGACUCCUACGGGAGGCAGCAGUAGGGAAUCUUCCACAAUGGACGAAAGUCUGAUAGAGCAACGCCACGUGAGUGAUGAAGGUUUUCGGAUCGUAAAACUCUGUUGUAAGGGAAGAACACGUACGAGAGGAAAUGCUCGUACCUUGACGGUACCUUACGAGAAAGCCACGGCUAACUACGUGCCAGCAGCCGCCGUAA